rnacentral:rRNA from 1 species
UACAGAGGGUGCAAGCGUUAAUCGGAUUUACUGGGCGUAAAGGGCGCGUAGGUGGUUGUGUAAGUGAGAUGUGAAAUCCCCGGGCUUAACCUGGGAACUGCGUCUUAUACUGCAUAGCUUGAGUACAUGAGAGGGUAGUGGAAUUUCCGGUGUAGCGGUGAAAUGCGUAGAUAUCGGAAGGAACACCAGUGGCGAAGGCGGCUACCUGGCAUGAUACUGACACUGAGGCGCGAGAGCGUGGGGAGCAAACAGG